rnacentral:rRNA from 1 species
AAGACGAACUGUGCGAACGUUGUUCGGAUUCACUGGGCUUAAAGGGCGCGUAGGCGGGCCCCAACGCCCGCGGUGAAAGCCCCCGGCUCAACCGGGGGAGUGCCGCGGGGACGGGGGGCCUCGAGCGGUGCAGGGGCACGCGGAACUUCCGGUGGAGCGGUGAAAUGCGUAGAGAUCGGAAGGAACGCCGGUGGCGAAAGCGGCGUGCUGGGCACCUCCUGACGCUGAGGCGCGAAAGCCAGGGGAGCGAACGGGA